rnacentral:rRNA from 1 species
UACGGGGGGGGCAAGCGUUGUUCGGAAUUACUGGGCGUAAAGGGCUCGUAGGCGGCCAACUAAGUCGGAUGUGAAAUCCCCAGGCUCAACCUGGGAACUGCAUCCGAUACUGGAUGGCUUGAAUCCGGGAGAGGGAUGUAGAAUUCCAGGUGUAGCGGUGAAAUGCGUAGAUAUCUGGAGGAAUACCGGUGGCGAAGGCGGCAUCCUGGACCGGCAUUGACGCUGAGGAGCGAAAGCUAGGGGAGCAAACGGG